rnacentral:rRNA from 1 species
GACGAACGCUGGCGGCGUGCUUAACACAUGCAAGUCGAACGGAAAGGCCCUGCUCUUGUGGGGUGCUCGAGUGGCGAACGGGUGAGUAACACGUGAGUAACCUGCCCCUGUCUUUGGGAUAACUUCAGGAAACUGGGGCUAAUACCGGAUAGGAGCUCCUGCUGCAUGGUGGGGGUUGGAAAGUUUCGGCGGUUGGGGCUGGCCUCGCGGGUUAUCCGCUUGUUGGUGGGGUAGUGGCUUACCAAGGCUUCGACGGGUAGCCGGCCUGGGAGGGUGACCGGCCACAUGGGGACUGAGGUACGGCGCAGACUCCUACGGGAGGCAGCAGUGGGGAAUAUGGCACAGUGGGCGGAAGCCUGUUGCAGCGACGCCGCGUGCGGAAUGACGGCCUUCGGGUUGUAAACCGCUUUCGCCUGUGACGAAGCGUGAGUGACGGUAAUGGGUAAAGAAGCACCGGCUAACUACGUG